rnacentral:rRNA from 1 species
GAUGAACGCUGGCGGCGUGCUUAACACAUGCAAGUCGAACGGAGUUUAUAAGCGGAAGUCUUCGGAUGGAAGCUUAUGAACUUAGUGGCGGACGGGUGAGUAACGCGUGGGUAACCUGCCUUACACAGGGGGAUAACAGCCGGAAACGGCUGCUAAUACCGCAUAAGCGCACAGUGCUGCAUGGUACCGUGUGAAAAGAUUUUAUCGGUGUAAGAUGGACCCGCGUCUGAUUAGCUAGUUGGUGGGGGUAAUGGCCUACCAAGGCAACGAUCAGUAGCCGGCUUGAGAGAGUGAACGGCCACAUUGGGACUGAGACACGGCCCAAACUCCUACGGGAGGCAGCAGUGGGGAAUAUUGCACAAUGGGGGGAAACCCUGAUGCAGCGACGCCGCGUGAGUGAAGAA